rnacentral:misc_RNA from 1 species
AUAUACAGCGGAGCUACACUUCGCAUUUGCCCCGUCCCCUUUCAAAGGCUCUGCGUCGCCCGUCGCCUCCAUCAUGACUGCUGUCCGCAAUGCACCAGCCGUGCAGGCCACCACGGGCGCCGGCGGGGGCAGCGCGAUGGUUACCUUCUUCACAACCACCUACUCGAAGCCCAUGCCGGAGCAGAGCUUCUCCGUACCGCUCAACGUGCUGCCAGACGGGCUCAACCAGCUCGUGCAGAACGUGCUCGGUGUUGAAGGGCAGAACUUCGAUUUUCUCCACAAAGAUGAGUACAUUGGUACGACGCUGUUCCGCUUCCUGCAGCGGCGCGGUAUCAGCUGCGAGGAGCUGCUCAAUAUCGAGUACACCCCCGCCCUGCAGGCCAAGGAGGGCAACUUGCUCCCGCACGAUGACUGGGUGAGUAGCGUGCGUGCCCCGUACCGCAAUAACGCCGAGCUUCUCCUGACCGGCUCGUACGACCACUGCGUUCGACUGUGGGACGGCGACAGCUGCCUCGCCCUCGGCUCCUUCCAUCGCGAGGCUGUUAAGGAGGUGGCCCUCCACCCAGUGACGCCCGCCAGCAGCAAGAUCGGUCGCAAGCGCACCAGGCUCGACGGGGACUUCAUGUUCGCCAGCGCUAGCAAGGACGGCAGUGUGGCAGCCUGGAAGCUGGACAGCAGCAACAGCCACAUGCAGCUUCUGGGGUCUAUCCAGGCCCACACCGACGGCGUUGACUCAGUCGCCAUCGCGCCGGGCGACGGCAGGCUUGUUGCCACGGCCUCCUGGGAUACCACGGUGAAGGUGUUCAGCUGGGAACAGAUGAUGGAGGGUGACACAGUGCCGUCGAAGAAGGCGCCGCUUGUGGCCUUCACAGACCACAGUCGUCCAGUCUUGUGCAGCCGCUUCUCUGCUGCCCAUGGUGCCGCACGGCUCUAUUCGGCUGGCCACGACGGCCACAUCAAGUGCCUCGACACAGAAGAAGCGCAGCUGCAGUCUCAGUUUAAAGGCGACCACCCCAUCAACCGCAUCGCCGUGAAGCCGGCAGGCAACAGCGCAGCAGCAGACCUUCUCCUCUCUGCCUGCACAGACAACCGUGCCCGACUCUUCGACACGCGGCAGAAGGAUGUGGUGAAGACCUUCAGCGGUCCUCGCCAGUGGCUCUACAGCGUGGUGUGGCUGUGGGAUGCGCAGGAGGGUGACGCCGAGCACAGCGGGGUCAGCCUCUUCGCAGUAGCCAGCGAAGACGCCACGGUGCGCGUGUAUGACCUGCGGUGUACCAACACGGCUCUGCUCACGCUAGAUGCGAUGCACACGGAUGGGGUGCUGGACGUCACGUACGUGGGGCAGUCUAUUAUUGCCAGUGGUGGUAAGGAUAACAAGACGAGGUCGUUCGCCCUUAGUAAGGAGGGCCUCCUCAGCUAACCGUGGCGCACCGGGUUUGUGGGGGAGGGGAGGUCACCAUGCGUGCCAAGUAGGCCGCGGUGCCAUUCGUGCAUGGCCUAUCGCGAAGCGGGUGCAGCUGUAGAAGUGGAUGCAAUGCACCCCACCUCUGCCGCCUUCCUCGCGCUCGACUUCGCGUCGCCUUUGUCACCCCCCCCAUCCCCCUGUUGUGCGUGCCUGUAUGCGCUUGCCGUUUCUGAGACUAAACACGAUUAACCUCAUCGCAGCAAGAAG